GUGGGGAAUCUUGCGCAAUGGGCGAAAGCCUGACGCAGCCAUGCCGCGUGAAUGAUGAAGGUCUUAGGAUUGUAAAAUUCUUUCACCGGGGACGAUAAUGACGGUACCCGGAGAAGAAGCUCCGGCUAACUUCGUGCCAGCAGCCGCGGUAAUACGAAGGGGGCUAGCGUUGCUCGGAAUUACUGGGCGUAAAGGGCGCGUAGGCGGACAGCUUAGUCAGAGGUGAAAGCCCAGGGCUCAACCUUGGAAUUGCCUUUGAUACUGGCUGUCUUGAGUUUGGGAGGGGUGAGUGGAACUCCGAGUGUAGAGGUGAAAUUCGUAGAUAUUCGGAAGAACACCAGUGGCGAAGGCGACUCACUGGCCCAAUACUGACGCUGAGGCGCGAAAGCGUGGGGAGCAAACAGGAUUAGAAACCCUGGUAGUCC
rnacentral:rRNA from 1 species